CUGUGAAUUUAUAAUUGCUAACACUUCAACAUUGAACACGGCACAAACCCACCUCGAGCUGCUGACGAUUGAUUAUUUCAGACAGCUGGACUCAGGCUCGGUUUUCGUUCUGAAUAUUGACCAAGACUCUGCUUCCCGGAACACACAAACUGUCUAUUGGUAGCUUCUCUCUUAAUUCAGAGUCAAGUCUUAAAAUGUCUAAAAUGUAUACAAACACGCUAACAUACUUAUAUAUUUUAAUUAUCAUUGCUUCUGUGUUUCUGUAGCUAGAUGGGGAUAAAUUAUUCCAGCUGCACACGAUUUAGUCUUUCAUUUAGCUCGCUUUGUGAAUAAAGAAAUGCUUUGUAAGGGGUAGAAACCAGAGACGUGAUCCAGGAAUUGGUCUCCGACCUUGCAGUGUGCUAGAUGGAUGGAAAACAAAUAUUUUCCUUUGCCUCCUGGUGGUUAAGCCCUCCUUGCUGGUGAGGACAGGAAGACUGCUGUUUGGUGGCUAAAACGUGUGUUCAACAGUUUAUUCAACAGCCCUUUAUCCAGCUCCCUCACAUACCAGGCAUUAUUCUAGUUCUGGAGGCUGAGAAGUCCAAGACCAUGGCUCUGGAAGAUCCGUUGUCUGGUGACCGCCUGGGCUACCUCUUGUCUAGCAGUGCUUUCUUUAUGCAAAAUUACAUGUCUGAGGAAUAACGGAUUCGGAUUUUGUGGACAUAAUUCACUCGAAGAAAAUAUAGCUCUGAAGACUUAGGUGAAACAGCAUAACAUCGUGGUUCAAAGUUCAGUGUCUGGAGCUCACACUCCGGGUCUGCAUCCUGGUUCUACUACUCACAGUUGUGGGAUGUGGGGCAAGGUACUUAGCUCCAUGUUGCUUAGUUUCCGUGUCUAUAAGAUGAGAAGGGCAGUU
rnacentral:lncRNA from 1 species